AGAGUGAUAUUUUUCUAACUUCAAUCGUUUUCUUUUUUACUCUAGAGAGAAUAGAAUCUCCCGUUUUCUAGAAACCCGAAAUAUUCUGGAUUGUUCGAUACGGUCCGCUACUACGUUCUCUGGACGCAAAAGAUUUUCCGAUCGGCAACCGGAGGCGGCAGAGAAUUUCAAUUGCCGUCGUUUAGGUGGUUCAAUCAUCAAUGGAUCAUUCCUAUCAAGUUAAUCACAGUUGUGCCCUAAAUCCUCCCAAAGACGGCCUCCCUAGCACCCAGUCUUCUAAUGAUGCACUUAGGCAGAUGGGAUCUGAAGGGAAAAUGGGAGCAGUUCAUGAAGAAAUGAAGAGAGUGAGUAGACUUCCACCAAGCAGUACAUAUGCAACUCAUCGGAUGCGCGUCCUUAACAAAAUCCUGCAACUUAUGUCCAUUCAGAGAACCACUUCACAGGAUGAGGAGUUGGAAUUGCUAUUUUCUGGGCUCUCUCUUGGAUGAUAAGAAGCAAAGAUCAUAUUUUCAGCCGUUGGUUUAUCAGAUACGCAGUGGAUCAUUUAUGUUGCUCACUUCGUCUUUGGUCUUCAGCUGCAUCUUCGCAAACCGUUUCUUUUUGAUGUAGAGAUGAUGCUUUGAUUAUUAAAUAAGUUAUACUGGUUAUAUAAUAGGUCUAGAAUUAAACCUGUUAUCUCAAUUAUGUGGUGGAUCAUCUGGCUGUCAAAGUUAGUUGAUUUCAACUUGAACUCUUGGAUUCCAGGUGAAUCAAUGCUCCACAGUACAAUAUUUUGAUGACUUUUUGGCUAAAGGAUCCUUCAAUUUACAGAUUUUUGUUUUGGCUCGCGUUGAAAAAAAAAA
rnacentral:lncRNA from 1 species